CCCUUAGAUGUUCUGGGCCGCACGCGUGCUACACUGAGUGGAUCAGCGGGUCAGGUUGCGCGAAAGCGUUUCCUAAUCUUUAAAUCCGCUCGUGAUGGGGAUUGACGGUUGCAAUUUUCUGUCAUGAACGAGGAAUACCUUGUAAGCGCGGGUCAUCAUCCCGCGCUGAAUACGUCCCUGCCCUUUGUACACACCGCCCGUCGCUCCUACCGAUUGAGUGGUCCGGUGAAGACCUCGGACUGUGGCUGCGGUUGCUUGAUUGCGACUGUGUGCUGUGGGAAGUUGUCUAAAUCUUAUCACUUAGAGGAAGGUGAAGUCGUAACA
rnacentral:rRNA from 1 species